rnacentral:rRNA from 1 species
UACGAAGGGUGCAAGCGUUAAUCGGAAUUAUUGGGCGUAAAGGGCGCGUAGGCGGCUUUUCAAGUGACGGGUGAAAUCCCUCGGCUUAACCGAGGAACUGCCUGUCAGACUGGAAGGCUUGAGACCGGGAGAGGUGAGUGGAAUUCCCAGUGUAGCGGUGAAAUGCGUAGAUAUUGGGAGGAACACCAGUGGCGAAGGCGGCUCACUGGACCGGAACUGACGCUGAGGCGCGAAAGCGUGGGGAGCAAACAGG